UUGGAGGGCAAGUCUGGUGCCCGCAGCCGCGGUAAUUCCAGCUCCAAUAGCGUAUAUUAAAGUUGUUGCAGUUAAAAAGCUCGUAGUUGAAUUUCGGGGUCAGUAGAUUGGUCAUGCCACUGGUAUGUACUGGUCUCACUGAUUCCUCCUUCCUGAUGAGCCGUAAUGCCAUUAAUUUGGUGUUGCGAGGAAUCUGGACUGUUACUUUGAAAAAAUUAGAGUGUUUAAAGCAGGCUAACGCUUGAAUACAUUAGCAUGGAAUAAUGAGAUAGGACGUUCGAUCUUAUUUUGUUGGUUUCUAAGAUUGACGUAAUGAUUAAUAGGGAUAGUUGGGGGCAUUAGUAUUCAAUUGUCAGAGGUGAAAUUCUUGGAUUUAUUGAAGACUAACUACUGCGAAAGCAUUUGCCAAGGAUGUUUUCAUUAAUCAAGAACGAAAGUUAGGGGAUCGAAGACGAUCAGAUACCGUCGUAGUCUUAACCAUAAACUAUGCCGACUAGGGAUCGGAUGAUGUUAAUUUUUUAAUGACUCAUUCGGCACCUUACGGGAAAC
rnacentral:rRNA from 1 species